AACGAACGCUGGCGGCAUGCCUAGCACAUGCAAGUCGAACGAGACCUUCGGGUCUAGUGGCGCACGGGUGCGUAACGCGUGGGAACCUGCCCUUAGGUUCGGAAUAACUCCCCGAAAGGGGUGCUAAUACCGGAUAAUGUCUUCGGACCAAAGAUUUAUCGCCUUUGGAUGGGCCCGCGUUGGAUUAGCUAGUUGGUAGGGUAAAAGCCUACCAAGGCGACGAUCCAUAGCUGGUCUGAGAGGAUGAUCAGCCACACUGGGACUGAGACACGGCCCAGACUCCUACGGGAGGCAGCAGUGGGGAAUAUUGGACAAUGGGCGAAAGCCUGAUCCAGCAAUGCCGCGUGAAUGAUGAAGGCCUUAGGGUUGUAAAGCUCUUUUACCCGGGAUGAUAAUGACAGUACCGGGAGAAUAAGCUCCGGCUAACUCCGUG
rnacentral:rRNA from 1 species